rnacentral:sRNA from 1 species
GCCGUGAGGUGUUGCCUUAAGUGGCGCAACGAGCGCAACCCCUGUCCCAUGUUGCCAGCGAGUCAUGUCGGGGACUCAUGGGAGACUGCCGGUGCCAAACCGGAGGAAGGUGGGGAUGACGUCAAGUCAUCAUGGCCCUUAUGUCCUGGGCUGCACACAUGCUACAAUGCUUGCUACAAAGGGUAGCAAUCCCGCAAGGGGGAGCGAAUCCCAAAAAAGCAAGCUCAGUUCGGAUCGGGGUCUGCAACUCGACCCCGUGAAGUCGGAGUCGCUAGUAAUCGCAGAUCAGCAACGCUGCGGUGAAUACGUUCCCGGGCCUUGUACACACCGCCCGUCACACCACGAAAGUGGGUAACACCCGAAGCCGGUGGCCCAACCCUUGUGGAGGGAGCCGUCGAAGGUGGGAUCCGCGAUUGGGGUGAAGUCGUAACAAGGUAGCCGUACCGGAAGGUGCGGCUGGAUCACCUCCUUUCUAAGGAGCAUUUGGCAACGCCGGCCGUUCGAGGCCAACCCGUCGGGAUCGGUUCCGGAGGGCUCGAGCGAGUCCGGAGCUCCAGUCAAUCCACUGGCUAGUUCACCGGCGGAACGGCGCCGGCCGUCAGUACUAUCCCGCAAGGGGGUGGAACGCGGUCGAUCGUCCCGGAAACCGGUGUGGCACACUGUUCGGUCCUGAGGGUGCGAGCUCUCGGACCGGCGAACCUCCGUGACCCUCCGUAAGGGUGGUCGCGCGUUCGUCGCUCAUGGACCUUGAGAACUCCAUAGCGAGCGCGAGCAUCUAUGAGUCAAGUUGAUAAGGGCUCACGGUGGAUGCCUUGGCGCCAGGAGCCGAUGAAGGACGCGUGAGACUGCGAAAAGCUCCGGGGAUCCGUCAACAAGGAUUUGAUCCGGAGGUGU